AGUGGAUGGGGAGCAACCUAGUUGUGCGUGUGUAAAGGUAGUGCCAAGAAAAGCGAUGAUCAUGUUGAAAAUCAAUUCCCGGUACCCGAAACCGACACAGGUGGGCAAGUAGAGAAUACUAAGGGGCGCGAGGUAACUCUCUCCAAGGAACUCGGCAAAAUGACCCCGUAACUUAGGGAGAAGGGGUGCCACCGAGAGGUGGUCGCAGUGAAGAGGCCCAGGCGACUGUUUAGCAAAAACAUAGGUCUCUGCAAACUCGAAAGAGGAGGUAUAGGGGCUGACGCCUGCCCAGUGCCGGAAGGUUAAAGAAGUUGGUCAGUUUUAGGAUGAAGCUAGCGACUGAAGCCCCGGUGAACGGCGGCCGUAACUAUAACGGUCCUAAGGUAGCGAAAUUCCUUGUCGGGUAAGUUCCGACCCGCACGAAAGGCGUAACGAUCUGGGCGCUGUCUCGGAGAGAGGCUCGGCGAAAUAGGAUUGUCUGUGAAGAUACGGACUACCUGCAUUUGGACAGAAAGACCCUAUGAAGCUUUACUAUAGCUUGGAAUUGUGUUCGGGCUUCCUGUGCGCAGGAUAGGUGGGAGGCGUAGAAGGUAUUCUUGUGGGGAUACUGGAGCCAACGGUGAGAUACCACUCUCAGGAGGCUAGAAUUCUAACUUAAUUAAGGACAGUUUCAGGUGGGUAGUUUGACUGGGGCGGUCGCCUCCAAAAAGGUAACGGAGGCGUACAAAGGUUCCCUCAGACUGGUUGGAAAUCAGUCGAAGAGUGCAAAGGCAGAAGGGAGCUUGACUGCGAGAAGUACAGUUCGAGCAGGGUGGAAACACGGUCUUAGUGAUCCGACGGUGCUGUGUGGAAGGGCCGUCGCUCAACGGAUAAAAGUUACUCUAGGAUAACAGGCUGAUCUCCCCCAAGAGUUCACAUCGACGGGGAGGUUUGGCACCUCGAUGUCGGCUCAUCGCAACCUGGGGCGGAAGUACGUCCCAAGGGUUGGGCUGUUCGCCCAUUAAAGCGGUACGUGAGCUGGGUUCAGAACGUCGUGAGACAGUUCGGUCCAUAUCCGAUGUAGGCGUGAGAAUAUUGAGAGGAGCCUUCCUUAGUACGAGAGGACCGGGAAGGACGCACCGCUGGUGUACCUGUUAUGAUGCCAAUUGUAAACGCAGGGUAGCCAAGUGCGGAGAGGAUAACCGCUGAAAGCAUCUAAGUGGGAAGCCCACCUCAAGAUGAGUAUUCUGGUGUAAGGUCACGGGAAGACGACCCGUAAAUAGGCACGAGGUGGAAGUGCAGAGAUGUAUGAAGCCGAAGUGUACUAAUAGACCGUCGGCUUGACC
rnacentral:rRNA from 1 species